rnacentral:lncRNA from 1 species
UUUCUGGGCCCAGUUCAGCACUAGGACUUAAGAGUUGUAGUCCCUGUGGCCUAGACUGCCUAUCAAGUUUGCUUUGAAAUCCAGAGCACUUUGGCCCUGGGUGGCAAGGUCUGCACGAACUCAAGUUCCACCCAUUGGGAUACAAGAUUCCCCUCUGGCUAGGACUGGUUUAAAUGCUCCCUCUGUGGGUGGGUGUCAGCUGAGUUUUAUUCUAUAGGGACAGCACUGAUUUUAUGUAACAUUUUUUCAAUAAAUGUUAAUUAUAUAAUAUUAUAUAUAAUAAAUUGCUAAUGGUAUUACCUGGAUAUGUUAUGCCUGUGUAAAACUUUUAAUGUAUAUUUAAAGCGAUAUUUAUUUUAAAAUGUAUUAUACAAAUAUGUUUCCUGGAACAUUGUUUAAUGCCACAAAAUGGGAAACAAUUAAAAUGCACAUCAAAUAUGAGAUUGGUUAAAUAAAUGAAAACAUAUACUUAAGCGGUGAAGUGACAGCAUCUGAUGGAGAGCAGUGGGCUCUGUUCUUAUUUCAGAACCUAUCCCACUUGUCAGCUCUGUUCCAGUCUGGCUCCUUGCUUUAAGGUCUCCUUCCCCUAACCUUUCCUUUUCUCUCCCUUUCUCUCUCUCUUCCUUCCUGUUUGAAUCUUACAGGGGUACCAAAAAAGCCUAUGAACUUAAAAGGGA